UUUUACAUCCACCUGAGCAGGCAGAUGAGGCCUUGGUUUAAUGUCUCAUCUGAAAGACAACACCUCUGACAGUGCAGAUACUACACUGGAGUGUCAGCCUUGAUUUUGCUGUUCAAGCCUUGCAGUGGGACUUGUACAUGGAACCUUGUCAUUCAGAGAUAAGUGUGUUACCAUCUGAGCCACAGCUGCCAGGAGAUUAUACAGGUCGCUUUCUCACUGACUACAAAAAUUGAACUCAAAAUGCAGCGUUCGACAGGAUUUCAGAACGAGGGAUUUCCACAGAGAUCUAAUCUCUCUCUCCCGGGACAAGUAGCCCAGUUCCCAUCAAGCUCAGCAACAAGGCGAUACGUUCUGCAAGAACAUCAAGCUCUGGUGGUGUCCUCGACUGUCAUCCCUGAUUCUUCACCUAGGUUUCUCAAAAC